rfam:Mesocricetus auratus contig191292, whole genome shotgun sequence.
UUUCCAGCCAGGCUUCUGACUGAAGUCCAGCUCUUAUCUGGAUUUAGCCAAAGCAUGGCUGUAAA